GGGAUUAUCGAUCUUGGAUGCAGAAUAUUAGUUUCUCACACCUAUCCUACAAAUGGAUACGUUCCAUCUAACUAAUAAGGAAAGGAAAGAGAGAGGGGGAGGCGUCCUUCGAUUGUCGAAAGAGUCGAAAUAGGGGUGUUUGGCCUUGCUUCGAGAAAAAAAGCUAUAAAAUUGGAAGGGUUGAGAAUGGCCUAGGUCACGCACCCCUCCCCCUCGUCGCCGUUAAUUCCAUCGGUUUAUGAUGCUCCUUGGAAACGCAACUUCCUCGAGGAUCCUCGAGGAUUUGGGAAUUCAGUCCGUCGUUGGCCAAGUCGGGGAAAAGGCGCGUUGGAUGCAUGGAAUUCUCAAACUUGAUUCCUAUUUAAAAUCAUCUUUGCGAUAGUUUCGAGACACCCUGUAUAUAUGAAGAAUGGCAAGCGCGUGGGUAGAGAAAUAUUUAUCUCUUUUAAUCUUUUGAUCGAUCGAGUGCAUCACGAGGAAUUCAAUUUAUUCAUAUUUAUAAUUAAGAGAUUAAAAUUCAUUUUCGAGCGAAUGUGACAAAUUUUGUUUUAAUUUUAUGGAAGACGUUAUCGCGAAUUAAAAAUUCACUCGACGAAGAUAAGACUCGGCUCGAAAUUACGAUAUUCGAUCGAGGAAAUUUUUCGACGGGAGUGUUCCCGAUGGAUGCUUCGUUUGGACAAGCUGCGUUUUUACACAAAUCUCACGAUUGGACCGCUGACAUCCGACCCUGCCCUGGAAAUAGGACCGGGCGAUGGCGUCAUAGCCUCGAGAGUUCAAGAUGGCGGAGAAGACUGUUUUCGGCUUGGAUCUAAUUAUAGACGAUCUUCGUGGGGACCGUGGAUCGUUCCGUUGGAAUUGAGAGGAGAUCCAAGGCGAGAGACGAUCAUCGCAUUCACGAGUUCCGCCGGAAGAUCUCGGCACGAGAAUUGGGAAGAGAGGAUUAAUUUUUCGAAAUUUUCUCUAUCCCAUUGUAUUACGCAUAAAAUCAUUGGAACGAAGAAAAAUAAAGCUGGAGUAAUAAAAAAAAAAUUGUAGCCA